UACAGAGGGUGCGAGCGUUAAUCGGAGUUACUGGGCGUAAAGGGCGCGUAGGCGGUUAUAUGAGUGUGAUGUGAAAGCCCCGGGCUUAACCUGGGAAGUGCAUCGCAAACGAUAUAACUGGAGUAGAUGAGAGGGUGGCGGAAUUUCCGGUGUAGCGGUGAAAUGCGUAGAGAUCGGAAGGAACGUCGAUGGCGAAGGCAGCCACCUGGCAUCAUACUGACGCUGAGGCGCGAAAGCGUGGGGAGCGAACAGG
rnacentral:rRNA from 1 species